rnacentral:tRNA from 1 species
GUUGUAGCUCAGUGGUACAGUGCCUGCCUAACAUGUGUGAGGCACUGGGUUCGAUUCUCAGCAUUACA